rnacentral:RNase_P_RNA from 1 species
AUCGUCCGCCGGACGGUCGCGGGUGGCUUCGGCUGCUCGAGGAAAGUCCGGACUCCACAGGGACAGAGUGCUGGGUAACUCCCAGGCGGGGCAACCCGACGGAUAGUGCCACAGAGAACAGACCGCCUACGUCGCGUGCGGCCGGUAAGGGUGAAACGGUGGUGUAAGAGACCACCAGCACGCCGGGAGACCGGCGUGGCUCGGCAAACCCCACUCGGAGCAAGGUCAAGCAGGAACAGGGUGUCCCACCCGCCACGUUCCAGGUAGACCGCAUGAGGCCGCCGGCAACGGCGGUCCCAGAUAGAUGACCGUCACGGGCACUGCGCCCGUACAGAAUCCGGCUUACAGGCGGACAACGGCA